AGAGUUUGAUCCUGGCUCAGAACGAACGCUGGCGGCGUGGAUUAGGCAUGCAAGUCGAACGAGGAUAUAUCCUUCGGGAUAUAAGCCGAGUGGCUGAAGGGUGAGUAAUGCAUAGAUCACCUGCCUUUAGGAUAAGGACAACUUUGUGAAAACGGAGCUAAUACUUAAUAAUACAAAAGAAAGUUUCUUUCUUUUGUCAAAUAAAGGGUAUUUAUACCUUUUGCCUAGAGAGGGGUUUAUGUCCUAUCAGCUUGUUGGUGGGGUAACGGCCUACCAAGGCAAAGACGGGUAGCCGGCUUUAGAGGGUGGUCGGCCACACUGGGACUGAGACACUGCCCAGACUUCUACGGAAGGCUGCAGUCGAGAAUCUUUCGCAAUGCCCGAAAGGGUGACGAAGCGACGCCGCGUGGGUGAAGAAGGCCUUCGGGUUGUAAAACUCUGUCAGGAGUUAAGAAAUAUAAGUUCGAAAAUAUCGUUCUUAUUUGACAAAGGCUCCAAAGGAAGCCACGGCUAACUCUGUGCCAGCAGCCGCGGUAAUACAGAGGUGGCAAGCGUUGUUCGGAAUUACUGGGCGUAAAGAGCACGUAGGUGGAUUUGUAAGUCAGAUGUGAAAGCCUUCUGUUCAACGGAAGAAUUGCAUCUGAAACUGCAAACCUUGAGUAUAGGAGGGGAGAAUGGAACUUCUGGUGGAGCGGUGAAAUGCGUAGAUAUCAGAAGGAACACCGGCGGCGAAAGCGAUUCUCUAGCCUAUAACUGACACUGAGUGUGCGAAAGCUAGGGGAGCAAACGGGAUUAGAUACCCCGGUAGUCCUAGCCGUAAACGAUGGGCACUAAGUAGAGGGAAUUACCGAUGUUCUCUCUGCCGUAGCUAACGCAUUAAGUGCCCCGCCUGGGGAGUACGGCCGCAAGGCUAAAACUCAAAAGAAUUGACGGGGGCUCGCACAAGCGGUGGAGCAUGUGGCUUAAUUCGAUGCAACGCGAAAAACCUUACCGGGGUUUGACAUGAUAGAAGUAGAAACCCGAAAGGGGGACGAACGGUAUCCAGUCCGUAGCUAUUACAGGUGUUGCAUGGCCGUCGUCAGCUCGUGUCGUGAGACGUUGGGUUAAGUCCCCUAACGAGCGAAACCCUUGUUUUUAGUUACCAGUGGGUAAUGCCGGGUACUCUAGAAAGACUGCCGUCGUCAAGACGGAGGAAGGUGGGGACGACGUCAAGUCAUCAUGGCCCUUAUACCCCGGGCUGCACACGUGCUACAAUGGUCGGUACAAAAGGAAGCGAAGCCGAGAGGUGAAGCGAAUCCUAAAAAGCCGAUCUCAGUUCGGAUUGGAGGCUGAAAUUCGCCUCCAUGAAGUUGGAAUCGCUAGUAAUCGCGGAUCAGCAAUGUCGCGGUGAAUAUGUUCCCGAGCCUUGUACACACCGCCCGUCAAGCCACCCAAGCAGGAUGCACCCGAAAACAUUAUAUCUAACCAGGGCAACUUGGAGGAAAAUGUUGAAGGAGUGUUUUGUGAGGAGGACUAAGUCGUAACAAGGUAA
rnacentral:rRNA from 1 species